UAAUUAUAUUAAGUAUAUUAAAACCACUUAUAUUAGGAACAAUGUCACCAUUAACUUUAUUUACCUAAUUAUUAGCAAAAUUAUUGUGUUUACUGUAGUUGCAAGCAGACAAUACAACUUUGUCUGAAGCAGUUGAGAUUUGGCAAAGCCUCAUACAUAAUGAAAAAUUGGCUUUGUACAAAGAUGAUAUUUUAAAGAGGUUCAAGAAGGCAAUUGUUCCAUGUCAUUUUCUUGCCAAUUUAACAGAUCCAAAAUAUGAAGGAAGAACAUUGGAUAGAAGUCAAGAAGAAGAAGCUGAGGAAUGGUUGAAUGAAGUCUAUCCUGAAUUUAUGCCAGGCUAUUAUGCGUUUAAACUAAAAGAUGCUAAUUGUUUCCCAACAUAUUUAUUCAACGAUAGUGUUAAAAGCACAACAUCAGCAACAAAUUGGUGGAGAAUUAUAGAAAUGAAAGAAUCUAAGUCUUCCAAAUUGCCUGCAAAUUUUGCAAAAUUUUUACGGCAGUUGCACACUUGUCCAGCUAGUACUGGAUUCAUAGAAAGAUUUUUCUCAUCUUUUGGAAUUAUUUGGAGCAAAAUUAGAAAUCGUUUAGGAAGAGAAAAAGCUGAAAUGCUUGUACGAAUUUACAGACAUUUAAGAUCAAGAUGCACAAUUGCUGAUGACUUUUAGAUUACUUUGUUUUAAAUGAUUAAGCUUGAAUAUUAUUGCUCCAAGUAAAAUAAAAUUCUUGUUUAUGA